rnacentral:rRNA from 1 species
GCAGAACGCGAAGAACCUUACCCACACUUGACAUGCCUCUUUUGGCUUUCAGAGAUGAUUGCCUUCGGUUCGGCCGGGGAGUGCACAGGUGCUGCAUGGCUGUCGUCGGCUCGUGUCGUGAGAUGUUGGGUUAAGUCCCGCAACGAGCGCAACCCUUAUCGUAUGUUGCCAGCAUUUAGUUGGGCACUCGUGCGAGACUGCCGGUGAUAAGCCGGAGGAAGGCGGGGACGACGUCAAGUCAUCAUGGCCCUUACGUGUGGGGCUAGAAAUGUGCUACAAUGGGAGUGACAGUGAGCAGCAAGGUCGCGAGGCCAAGCUAAUCUCCAAAAGCUCUCUCAGUUCAGAUUGUAGUCUGCAACUCGACUACAUGAAGUUGGAAUCGCUAGUAAUCGCAAAUCAGCAUGUUGCGGUGAAUACGUUCCCGGGUCUUGUACACACCGGAGGUCGGUGGGGGAGGGCAAGGGGCACACAGGGGGGGGAUA